rnacentral:tRNA from 8 species
GCGGGUGUAGCUCAGUGGCAGAGCUCCAGCUUCCCAAGCUGGCUAUGUGGGUUCGAUUCCCAUCACCCGCUCCA